AUCCUUUCGGUUCAUGAAAAUGAUGAUUGGUUGAUUCACAGAGGAUCUGUGAGGAGGUGUGGCCUAAUCCUUGUUACGCAUCACGCCUUCAGACCGUCUGAUC
rfam:Poecilia formosa, whole genome shotgun sequence.